AGUAUUACGCCGGGUUGAACGGAAAUCAUUGAUGUUGAUUAACACGGGGACUAAAUACCUCUAAUACUG
rnacentral:tRNA from 1 species